CCCGUGUUGAGUUACGUUAUGAGAAUGACCGCAAGGCGCGCGCCACCAGCUUCUGACGCAUCAUCUUGUUGGAAGCGCAAAGGGCUUCCAAGGACUUUACGCGUACGUGGAAUUAGGGUUCGACUACGGAGAAUGAGCAUGAGAGACGGCUCAUAUUUCUAAGGGGGGCAGCAGGCGCGAAAAUUGCCCAAUGUACGGUAGUACGAGGCAGUGACGAACAAUCUCAAGCGGGCUUUGCCCGUGUUGAGCUGAGGUAGGGGUAUACAUCCUGCCAAUUGCAACUAGAGGGAGAGCAUGGUGCCAGCAGCCGCGGUAAUUCCAUCUCUGGGAGCCUUCUCUUACGUUGCUGCAGUUAAAAGGUCCGUAGCCGUUAAUAGCGAAAGUGUGUCACUUUGAGAAAAUCGGAGCGUUCAUAGCAUGCUAGCCGCUGUACAGUACAGCAAAGCACGACAUUGGGACCGUUACAAGUCCUAUGGAGCAUAUGGUGGCGCGUGGUCGAUGGUAUUUCUGGGGGACAGGUGAAAUAGGAUGAUCCCAGAAGGACCCACAGGAGCGAAGGCAGUCGGCAAGCGCCAUCCAGUUGGUCAAGGACGAAAGUGUAAGGAUAGACGAUGAUUAGAAACCGUUUUAUUUUACGCCUUAAACAAUACCAUCUCGAUGGAAGGCGCAUUGCUUUCCAUCCCAAGGAAACCGAAAGGCUUCAGGCUCUGGGGGAAGUAUGGUUGCAAGACUGAAACUUGAAGGAAUUGACGGAGAGGUACCACCAGACGUGGAGUCUGCGGCUCAAUUUGACACAACACGCAAAGCUUACCAGACCCAGAUACUUAUUGGAGCAACAGAUUAAGAGUUCUUUUGUGAUCAGGUAGUUAGUGGUGCAUGGCCGCUCCUAGUUCGUGGUGUUAACUGUCUGCCUUAUUGCGAUAACGAGCGAGAUUGACGGGUUCUAUUAGAACCGAGCGCCAGCGUUGAGUUGGACGAACGCGUCAGCCCUAGCAGGUCUGUGAUGCCCUUAGACACUCUGGGCCGCACGCGUACUACACUGCCGGCGGCAAAACGUAGCAAGGCACAAUUGUCGCGCUAUUCAUCAACCGCCGGCGUGGUCGGGAUCGGGGCUUGGAAUUGUCCCCCGUGAACGAGGAAUGUCUUGUAAACGCAUGUAAGAAGCAUGCGCUGACUGCGUCCCUGCCUCUUGUACACACCGCCCGUCGCUCCUACCGAUCGGAUUCUUUGGUGAGUUGCUCGGAGUGCGCAGGGUUAUUCCUGCGUGCAAAGUUCUGCGAACCUAAGAAUUUAGAGGAAGGAGAAGUCGUAACAAGGCU
rnacentral:rRNA from 1 species